rnacentral:rRNA from 1 species
ACGAACGCUGGCGGCAUGCCUAACACAUGCAAGUCGAACGAGACCUUCGGGUCUAGUGGCGCACGGGUGCGUAACGCGUGGGAACCUGCCCUUAGGUUCGGAAUAACUCCCCGAAAGGGGUGCUAAUACCGGAUAAUGUCUUCGGACCAAAGAUUUAUCGCCUUUGGAUGGGCCCGCGUUGGAUUAGCUAGUUGGUAGGGUAAAAGCCUACCAAGGCGACGAUCCAUAGCUGGUCUGAGAGGAUGAUCAGCCACACUGGGACUGAGACACGGCCCAGACUCCGACGGGAGGCAGCAGUGGGGAAUAUUGGACAAUGGGCGAAAGCCUGAUCCAGCAAUGCCGCGUGAGUGAUGAAGGCCUUAGGGUUGUAAAGCUCUUUUACCCGGGAUGAUAAUGACAGUACCGGGAGAAUAAGCUCCGGCUAACUCCGU